GAUGAACGCUGGCGGCGUGCUUAACACAUGCAAGUCGAACGAGAAGUGAAGACGGGGACUUUCGGGCGGAGGGCUAUGUUUGGAUAGGCGGACGGGUGAGUAACGCGUGGGUAGCCUGCCGCAUACAGGGGGAUAACAGUUGGACACGACUGUUAAUACCGCAUAAGACGACAGCACCGCAUGGUGCGGGGGUAAGAACUCCGGUGGUAUGAGAUGGAUCCGCGUUGGAUUAGCCAGCUGGCGGGGUAACGGGUCACCAGAGCGACAAUCGAUAGCCGAACUGAGAGGAUGGCCGGACACACUGGGACUGGGACACGGCCCGAACUCCUACGGGAGGCAGGAGUGGGGAAUAUUGCACAGUGGGGGAAAUCCUGAUGCAGCGAGGCCGCGAGAGUGAAGAAGUAAUUCGGUAUGUAAUGCACUAUCAGCAGGGAUGAUAAUGACGGUACCUGAGUAAGAAGCCCCGGCUAACUACGUG
rnacentral:rRNA from 1 species